AACGCUGGCGGCGUGCCUAAUACAUGCAAGUAGAACGCUGAAGAGAGGAGCUUGCUCUUCUUGGAUGAGUUGCGAACGGGUGAGUAACGCGUAGGUAACCUGCCUUGUAGCGGGGGAUAACUAUUGGAAACGAUAGCUAAUACCGCAUAACAAUGGGUGACACAUGUCAUUUAUUUGAAAGGGGCAAUUGCUCCACUACAAGAUGGACCUGCGUUGUAUUAGCUAGUAGGUGAGGUAACGGCUCACCUAGGCGACGAUACAUAGCCGACCUGAGAGGGUGAUCGGCCACACUGGGACUGAGACACGGCCCAGACUCCUACGGGAGGCAGCAGUAGGGAAUCUUCGGCAAUGGGGGCAACCCUGACCGAGCAACGCCGCGUGAGUGAAGAAGGUUUUCGGAUCGUAAAGCUCUGUUGUAAGUCAAGAACGAGUGUGAGAGUGGAAAGUUCACACUAUGACGGUAGCUUACCAGAAAGGGACGGCUAACUACGUGCCAGCAGCCGCGGUAAUACGUAGGUCCCGAGCGUUGUCCGGAUUUAUUGGGCGUAAAGCGAGCGCAGGCGGUUUGAUAAGUCUGAAGUUAAAGGCUGUGGCUCAACCAUAGUUCGCUUUGGAAACUGUCAAACUUGAGUGCAGAAGGGGAGAGUGGAAUUCCAUGUGUAGCGGUGAAAUGCGUAGAUAUAUGGAGGAACACCGGUGGCGAAAGCGGCUCUCUGGUCUGUAACUGACGCUGAGGCUCGAAAGCGUGGGGAGCGAACAGGAUUAGAUACCCUGGUAGUCCACGCCGUAUACGAUGAGUGCUAGGUGUUGGAUCCUUUCCGGGAUUCAGUGCCGCAGCUAACGCAUUAAGCACUCCGCCUGGGAUACGA
rnacentral:rRNA from 1 species